rnacentral:misc_RNA from 1 species
CUUCUUUCGGAAUAGUUCCUCUACUACAUGAAGCGCAGGACAAUCGACUGGGAUCAAGGAUGGGAUUUUAUUCAGGAAGGUAUCACAAAGCGGAAGAGGGCUCUGGAAGGAUCACAAAAGCAAUUCAGCUGUGAAGAAUAUAUGGAGCUUUACACAACUAUAUACAAUAUGUGUACCCAGAAGCCACACUAUCCUCAGCAGCUCUAUGACAAGUACAGAGAGGCUUUUGAAGAAUAUAUUAAUUCCACAGUGCUGCCAUCUAUAAGAGAGAAGCAUGAUGAGUUUA